ensembl:lncRNA
UUUCUAGCAGAGUAUAGCUAAGGGCCUGGCUGUAGAGCUGUUUCUUCAGAGAUGUACAAGAAGAGUCUUCAAGUAUCUUCUUAUAUAUGGAAGCUCUGAAUGCAGUGCAAGUUUUUUGUCAGACCCUGAUUUGAACGUGGAUGGGAAGCCUCAGUUAUAACCUUCAUCUUCCCACUGAAACUGUGGCUGUGACCACCCAGCAUGAAGAAAGCUUCCUCAGUGCCAACAGCUGGAUGUUUUUAAUGAUGUAUCCCUCAGUCAUCACUCAGUGAAGUCUGAUUUAGCAAGCAUGGCAGAAGAACUUGAACACUGAAGACUGUUGCGUAGAUGAAGGAAAGUUAUUAGUGCAACAUUUUUGGAUGGAUCCUGACUAGGCGUUAAGAAACAAGAAGCUCUUAUUUACUCUUCUUAUAGAGCCCUGAUCAUGCCACUUGGCCUUAAUGAGACUGUUUUCCCAUCUUUACAGGAAAACAAUGCCUACUAAACCUAUGACAAGUCUAACUUAUUUGCUUUCCAGAAGAAAAAGUAGUUGCUUUCAGCUUCAGACCUAUCUGUCAUUCUCAUGGUUGUUGUGCAUAUAAUUUUUUUUAUUUUAAAAAAGUACAGAAGAUGAGAAGACUGGAGGGUAGUGCUCCAAGACAAAUUUUAGUGGUUAUUACUGUAGCAAAAAGCUGGAUUUGGUAAACAUAUGAACAAGACUUUUUUAUUCUCAGCACUUUUUUUCCCCCCACAGAAGAAUGUGAGCCACUCUUUAUUAGGUGUAAAUUGUGUAUUACUGCAUCGAGAGAAUGAUGUGAUUUACAUGGGAUCAUGGCUUGGCUCACUCAAGCUCUGCUCCGCUUUGCUGGACAACUUUGAAACUGUAAAGUGGCAUCCUACUGAUCUCUUCUGCAACCCUAUUCCUUGCAUCUCCCUGACCCCAGUUUUUGUGUUUCCUGAUCUUAAAGCAUAAUGUCUUCAUUAUGGUCAGAGAAAAGGCAUAAG